rnacentral:rRNA from 1 species
AGAGUUUGAUCCUGGCUCAGAAUCAACGCUGGCGGCGUGCCUAACACAUGCAAGUCGAACGCGAAGACCCCGCAAGGGGUUUGUAGCGUGGCAAACGGGUGAGUAACACGUGGGUGACCUGCCUUCGAGCGGGGGAUAACGUCCCGAAAGGGACGCUAAUACCGCAUGACAUCCUGCCUUUGAAGAGGUGGAGAUCAAAGCCGGGGAUCGCAAGACCUGGCACUCGAAGAGGGGCCCGCGCCUGAUUAGCUAGUUGGUGAGGUAAUGGCUCACCAAGGCAACGAUCAGUAUCCGGCCUGAGAGGGCGGACGGACACACUGGGACUGAGACACGGCCCAGACUCCUACGGGAGGCAGCAGUGGGGAAUUGUUCGCAAUGGGCGCAAGCCUGACGACGCAACGCCGCGUGGAGGAUGAAGACCUUCGGGUCGUAAACUCCUUUCGAUCGAGACGAACGGCCUCCGGGUGAACAAUCCGGAGGAGUGACGGUACCGAGAGAAGAAGCCCCGGCUAACUCCGUGCCAGCAGCCGCGGUAAUACGGGGGGGGCAAGCGUUGUUCGGAAUUACUGGGCGUAAAGGGCUCGUAGGUGGCCAACUAAGUCAGACGUGAAAUCCCUCGGCUUAACCGGGGAACUGCGUCUGAUACUGGAUGGCUUGAGUAUGGGAGAGGGAUGCGGAAUUCCAGGUGUAGCGGUGAAAUGCGUAGAUAUCUGGAGGAACACCGGUGGCGAAGGCGGCAUCCUGGACCAUUACUGACGCUGA